GAUGAACGCUGGCGGCGUGCCUAAUACAUGCAAGUCGAGCGAACAGACGAGGAGCUUGCUCCUCUGACGUUAGCGGCGGACGGGUGAGUAACACGUGGAUAACCUACCUAUAAGACUGGGAUAACUUCGGGAAACCGGAGCUAAUACCGGAUAAUAUAUUGAACCGCAUGGUUCAAUAGUGAAAGACGGUUUUGCUGUCACUUAUAGAUGGAUCCGCGCCGCAUUAGCUAGUUGGUAAGGUAACGGCUUACCAAGGCAACGAUGCGUAGCCGACCUGAGAGAGUGAUCGGCCACACUGGAGCUGAGACACGGUCCAGACGCCUACGGGAGGCAGCAGUAGGGAAUCUUCCGCAAUGGGCGAAAGCCUGACGGAGCAACGCCGCGUGAGUGAUGAAGGUCUUCGGAUCGUAAAACUCUGUUAUUAGGGAAGAACAAAUGUGUAAGUAACUAUGCACGUCUUGACGGUACCUAAUCAGAAAGCCACGGCUAACUACGUG
rnacentral:rRNA from 1 species